ensembl:misc_RNA Y_RNA Y RNA
GGCUGGUCAGAAGGUAGUGAGUUAUCCUCAUUCGUUCCCAGCCAGUUACAGAUUGAACUCCUUGCUCUACUCUUUUCUCCCUUCUCACAGCUGCAUUUGACCAGGCUUUA